AUGCAGACGGUCUUCCUCUGACGCCACUUCCUAGGAGGUGAGCGCGCGCAUUUUAAAGACAUAGUAAACUUGUUUAAAACGCUGUUUUCGUGGGUUUACAGUCACCUGGAGCUUCAUUCACAAUGCCACUUUGCAGCCUUGAUGGAAAAUGCGAGAAAGAGAAGCGUCAAGAAUCAAUGGAUUCCUCGACUGUUACUAAGAACCUUUUGCAGUGAGUGCCAUGAAGCCGGGGCUUCCCCUCUGAGGUGCUGUUAGCCUGUGGACUGGAGAUUUGAAGGUAGUCGUCUGAGUUGCUUUCCCCUGCAUCUAUUUCACCACAGAAAUAGAGAUGGAAAAGCACGUCGGAUCAUGGGACAACCACAGCUGUGCACUUCCCUUCUUAUCCCUUUUCCGGCUGUCGUGUGUGUGUGUUGGUCUCAGAAAGCAAUCUCACGGUAAUGAAAUCACACGCGCACACAUCCACCUGGCCAAUCUCUCUGUAAUGAAGGCUGCUUGCACACACACCUGGGACAAGGAGGAUCCAGACAGGCCCGGACACAGACCAUCACGCUGGCAGGCCGGAGAGCAGCUCAUGCAAUGGCACAGGUUUCCCCCGCAGGCGCCAGUUUCAUUUAAAGGAGGGAGAAGGAGACGCUGCUCUGGCCAAUCAGCUGACAGACUGACUGACAGGAGGGACGCUGGGCUGUAGCAGAGUUUAAUAAAGCUCCUGUUGUCAGCGGUAAAUAAGAAGAUUAAAGUGCCCCAUUAUGCGCUUUCAGACAUUACCUUUCAUCCAGUGUUUAAUGUAGCUGCUUGUGAAAGUUUCAAAGAUCAACUUGAGCUUGUGACUUCCAAAAGAAAGAACCAAUUGUGAACAGUCUGAAGUAAUAAGUCCUGUAGUGCAUAAACCUGCAAAUAAAUAACGAAUUAGCAUAAUG
rnacentral:lncRNA from 1 species